rnacentral:siRNA from 1 species
CACACGAUACUGUAUAUGUAUA